rnacentral:rRNA from 1 species
UACGUAGGGACCAAGCGUUGUUCGGAUUUACUGGGCGUAAAGGGCGCGUAGGCGGCUAUUCAAGUCAUCUGUGAAAUCUCCGGGCUUAACUCGGAACGGUCAGAUGAUACUGCUUUGCUCGAGUGCGGAAGGGGCAAUCGGAAUUCUUGGUGUAGCGGUGAAAUGCGUAGAUAUCAAGAGGAACACCUGAGGUGAAGACGGGUUGCUGGGCCGACACUGACGCUGAAGCGCGAAAGCCAGGGGAGCAAACGGG